rnacentral:rRNA from 1 species
UACAGAGGGGGCAAGCGUUAUUCGGAAUUAUUGGGCGUAAAGGGCGCGUAGGCGGUGCGGUAAGUCACUUGUGAAAUCUCUGAGCUUAACUCAGAACGGCCAAGUGAUACUGCAGUACUAGAGUGCAGAAGGGGCAAUCAGAAUUCUUGGUGUAGCGGUGAAAUGCGUAGAUAUCAAGAGGAAUACCUGAGGUGAAGACGGGUUGCUAGGCUGACACUGACGCUGAGGCGCGAAAGCCAGGGGAGCAAACGGG